AACGAACGCUGGCGGCAGGCCUAACACAUGCAAGUCGAACGCUCCAGCAAUGGAGAGUGGCAGACGGGUGAGUAACACGUGGGAACCUUCCCUUUGGUUCGGAAUAGCUCAGGGAAACUUGAGGUAAUACCGGAUAAGCCCUUACGGGGAAAGAUUUAUCGCCGAAGGAUGGGCCCGCGUCGGAUUAGCUAGUUGGUGGGGUAACGGCCUACCAAGGCGACGAUCCGUAGCUGGUCUGAGAGGAUGAUCAGCCACACUGGGACUGGGACACGGCCCAGACUCCUACGGGAGGCAGGAGUGGGGAAUAUUGGACAAUGGGCGAAAGCCUGAUCCAGCCAUGCCGCGUGUGUGAAGAAGGUCUUCGGAUUGUAAAGCACUUUAAGUUGGGAGGAAGGGCAGUAAGCUAAUACCUUGCUGUUUUGACGUUACCAACAGAAUAAGCACCGGCUAACUUCGUGCCAGCAGCCGCCGUAAUAC
rnacentral:rRNA from 1 species